rnacentral:rRNA from 1 species
GACGAACGCUGGCGGCGUGCUUAACACAUGCAAGUCGAACGGAAAGGCCCUGCUUUUGUUGGGUGCUCGAGUGGCGAACGGGUGUGUAACACGUGAGUAUCCUGCCCUUGACUUUGGGAUAACUUCUGGAAACUGGGGCUAAUACCGGAUAGGAGCUCCUGCUGCAUGGUGGUGGUUGGAAAGUUUCGGCGGUUGGGGAUGGACUCGCGGCUUAUCCGCUUGUUGGUGGGGUAGUGGCUUACCAAGGCUUCGACGGCUAGCCGGCCUGAGAGGGUGACCGGCCACAAUGGGACUGAGAGACGGACCAGACGGCUACGGGAGGCAGCAGUGGGGAAUAUUGCAGAAUGGGGGGAAGCCUGAUACAGAGACGCCGCGAGCGGGAUAACGGCCUUCGAGUUGUAAACCACUUUCGCCUGUGACGAAGAGUGAGUGACGGUAAUGGGUAAGGAAGCACCGGCUAACUACGUG